GCUUCUCUCACCACAGAAUGUUUUACCGGGUUUCACCCUGGAGUGGCCAUUAGUUAUCAAGUAAUACACUGAUGAGCAGAGCAAACCCGGCAGAAGAUCCCCCUGGAGCCCCAGGGUCCCAGCCUCGCUGCGGGCAGAGUCAUGGGAGAGCCGCGGCUGCAGCAAGGGGGGCAAGUGCAGACCAAUUCUACAAUUUAUCAAGAUCAUUUUGAAUCCUAAUCCUGGCCUCCGAAGUACUUGCAGCCCAUCCCAGCCUGGUAUCAGCAGCAGUUUUAACGGAAUUAAAUCGUGGGGCAAACAAAAGAGAGAGACCGUCAAAACCCCAGCCUGCCAACUCCACUAAAUGUGGGAAAUACUUUUCCAAGGCUUUUGAACUCAAAAGUGGAACAGAAGGAAGACACAGGGGGACGUGCACCGUUCAGUGUUAUUUUCCUUGCGCAGGAAAAAAAGAUCAUUAUGAGAUGAGUGCUAAAGUCUCAAGUUUUCAAAGGUUUGCAUAACAAACAAGAGACACAUUGUGGGUUGCAUCUUGACUUUGAAGGCUUGCCACUGUCAACUGAAAUAAAAUGGCAAGGUUUAAAGCCUUAACCAAGUUCACAAGGAAAAUAUUUGGACUAAAAGUUUUGGAAAGUUUUCUCUCUUUGAAGUAGUUUGUC